rnacentral:rRNA from 1 species
ACGGAAGGCAGCAGUGGGGAAUAUUGGGCAAUGGGGGAAACCCUGACCCAGCAACGCCGCGUGAAGGAAGAAGGCUUUCGGGUUGUAAACUUCUUUUACCAGGGACGAAGGACGUGACGGUACCUCAUGAAUAAGCCACGGCUAACUACGUGCCAGCAGCCGCGGUAAUACGUAGGUGGCAAGCGUUAUCCGGAUUUACUGGGUGUAAAGGGCGCGUAGGCGGGGAUGCAAGUCAGAUGUGAAAUCUAUGGGCUUAACUCAUAAACUGCAUUUGAAACUGUAUUUCUUGAGUGCUGGAGAGGUAGAUGGAAUUCCUUGUGUAGCGGUGAAAUGCGUAGAUAUAAGGAAGAACACCAGUGGCGAAGGCGAUCUGCUGGACAGUAACUGACGCUGAGGCGCGAAAGCGUGGGGAGCAAACAGGAUUAGAUACCCUGGUA